UGCCCUUCAAUACCAAACAUGCGGGCCAGGUCAUGUCUAAGUUCGUCAUAGCCUUUAUAACGGGUCACAUCAAUAGAUCUUCCUACAGAUCCACGCUUUUGAACCUUUGUAUAUGUUCGCAUGCGUUGAGUCUGGUUGGCCCACAAUCCACCAUUCAAAACCCCAGAAUCAUUUAUUGCAACAUCAUUGGAACAUCCAGGCUUGAAGGGUAUGUUUGGCACUCCAAAUGAUUGAGAGCUUAUCGCAGCAGUGGACAACUCUGUCUCAACAUCUCUUGGAGUCCCACCAUAAUUAGUUAGCAAGUUUUGAAGAUCUUUUUGGGAGUCAUAUCCCCUUGACAACAAAGUGUCAGGUGCCAAGCUAUCAAUAUUAGUUGCAAAAGGUAGACUGUUCCUAGGAUGUGAUUGGACAUCACCAUCCAAACCAAAGGUAGGGAGCGAGAAAUUUUGUUGGCUGUUACCAGCGUCCAGGCAAUAUGAUGUUCCAGAAGAAGAAAUUUCCAAUUGAUCAGUCAUUGCACCUUUGUAUUUUAGUUGGUCUAAUCCUUUUGAACUGGGAAACUCAUGUUUAACUUGAAUAUCAGACUUGCUAUUAAGCUCCUGAACUAGAUUAGUUGCAGGCUCAAUCACUGGGUCCCCCAGUAAUACAGCUGGUGAUUCUUGGUUUCUGUUUAGAAAAUUUGAUGGGGAAAUUUGGCAGUUAUCAGUGGAGGGUGAGGUUGAACAAGAUGGAGCAUCUCCAUCUGUAAGAGUGGAAUGGGCUCUAAUUGUUGUAGGUGACUUCUGUAGCACACGGGAAUGAUACACGGGAAAGGAUUGAGAUUGCAUGAGUGCAGCUGUUGAGAAGCUAUUGCUACUGAGUGGCUGACUCUGUGAAAGAGGCGACUGCUGGAAGUGCUGGUUUUGUUGAUGGUUCUGCUGUUGUUGCAAUAGCUGAGGCUGCAAAGGUGAGCUCGUAGGGGAAAGCAAUUGCUGCUGCUGCUGUUGUUGCUGCAAUUUCUGCAGCAAUUGCAAUUGAAGCUGCUGCUCAGAGAGGCUGGGUUGUGAUAGUUGUUGCACUUGUGGCUGUGGCGGUGGUUGUGGUUGUGUUCUCUGUGACAGGUUUUGUUGCAACAGCUGCAGUGGGGACUGUUGCAAUUGUGUCUGCUGCUGGUGCCUCUGCAGGAGGCUAGAUUGUUGCUCCAUUUGUUGCUGGAAUGGAGUAUCCUGUGGCAAAGAGGUCAGCUGAUACGAACUCUUAUUAGCAGGGGGGAUAUUUUGGGAUUGGGUAUUGCUUGCUAGUAGCUGCUGCUGCUGUUGAACCUGAGAGUAUACCAUCUGUUGCUGCAAAUUUUGAUUUGAAAUUUGGCUAGGGGUAACACUACCAUUAUUUACAAGAGGUUGGAAUAUGUGCUGCUGCUGUCGUAUUUGUCGAGGCUGUGGCUGCGGCUGGGGGUGUGGGUGGGGGGGGGGGGGGGGGGGGGGGGCCCGCCGCGGGCGCGGCGGGAAAACGCCCCUUAAUCUUUUUAUUGUUGGGGAUGAGGCUGCUGCUGCAGCUGUUGAGGCUGAGCUGGCUGCUGUUGGCUGAUAUUGGCCUGCAAUAAUUGCUGCAGUUGCUGCUGUUGGGUCCAUGUGGUAGAUGGCUGUGGCAGCUGGCCAACUUGGUUUUGUGGAUUUGCUUUGUUGAACUGGAUACUUGGUACAGACAGGCCAGGGGCUUGAAAAUUCAGUAACUUUGAGGGAUCAUCGGUGCUAACGUUAUUAUGCAAGGCAUUAGAAGGAAGCA
rnacentral:misc_RNA from 1 species